CCCUGUUCUGAGAGACACUAUGGGGGGUGUCCCCUGUUCUGAGAGACACUAUGGGGGUGUCCCCCGUUCUGAAAGACACUAUGGGGGUGUCCCCCGUUCUGAAAGACACUAUGGGGAUGUCCCCCGUUCUGAAAGACACUAUGGGGGUGUCCCCUGUUCUGAAAGACACUAUGGGGGUGUCCCCUGUUCUGAAAGACACUAUGGGGGUGUCCCCUGUUCUGAAAGACACUAUGGGGGUGUCCCCUGUUCUGAAAGACACUAUGGGGGUGUCCCCUGUUCUGAAAGACCCUAUGGGGGUGUCCCCUGUUCUGAAAGACACUAUGGGGGUGUCCCCUGUUCUGAGAGACACUAUGGGGGUGUCCCCUGUUCUGAGAGACACUAUGGGGUGUGCCCUGUUCUGAAAUACACUCAUGGGGGUGUCCCCUGUUCUGAAAUACACUCAUGGGGGUGUCCCCUGUUCUGAAAGACACUAUGAGGGUGUCCCCUGUUCUGAAAGACACUAUGGGGGUGUCCCCUGUUCUGAAAGACACUAUGGGGGUGUCCCCUGUUCUGAGAGACACUAUGGGGGUGUCCCCUGUUCUGAGA
rnacentral:lncRNA from 1 species